AAGAAGAUACUUCGCCACUGACUGUGUUUGGAAGUACUACAAUUUCUCCAUUUCUCAAAGCAACGCUCCCUCGUUUGCUUACUUGAAAGUGGGAGAUUUUUACUAUUACGGUUAUCAGAACCAGACCAGAAAUUUGGAUAUGUCAGCACACAUGUAUGCACAAGCAGCGUUGAAGGACGAUGCGCAGGGAUUCUUUAAUUUGGCUCUGCUUCUGGAAGAAGGUCAUUCUAUCCCAAGUUAUAUUUUAGAUCGUUUAAAGAUUGACAGCUCCGUCCACUCCAGAAAUAUGUCCCUCCGUGAAGAGCUUUA